rnacentral:rRNA from 1 species
UACAGAGGUCUCAAGCGUUUGUUCGGAUUCAUUGGGCGUAAAGGGUGCGUAGGUGGCGCGGUAAGUCGGGUGUGAAAUCUCGGAGCUUAACUCCGAAAUUGCAUUCGAUACUGCCGUGCUUGAGGACUGGAGAGGAGACUGGAAUUCAUGGGUGUAGCAGUGAAAUGCGUAGAGAUCAUAGGAAGACCAGUGGCGAAGGCGGGUCUCUGGACAGUUCCUGACACUGAGGCACGAAGGCCAGGGGAGCAAACGGG